rnacentral:tRNA from 5 species
GGGCGCAUAGCUCAGUGGUAGAGCACCAAUCUUAUAAGUUGGCCGUCCGUGGUUCGAAUCCACGUGCGCCCA